UUUACAGCUAGAACAGAGAAAAAGAAAUGACUAUGGUACUGGCCUUCAAAAGAUCAAAUGAACAGAUAAAUCUCCUCUCCUACCUUUAAAUAAAAAGGCAUGAGGAUGUAUUUUCAAAUACUACUACUAAACCCAGAUUUGAAGCAGGAUCCACAAAUCAUUUACUAAGCACUAAUUUAGUUAUUUCAGAUAACAAGAUUAGGAAAAACGCACUUUUGCCACAUUAAGAAAAUGAUGACAUAUUUCAUUGAGAAAUGUUGGCACCUUCAUGCUUUAGAGCAGGAAUCUGUUUUGAGAAUGGAUCCCUCAUGCAUCAGGAAUAAUUUCUUUCAACUAUCUGAGAACAUGGUGGCUAUGUUUGCCAGAGAUUCUUUCUGCAACGACCCAUCUAUCUAUGCAGCUCCUAUGUGCUGACCAGAUUACAUGCUUGCCAUCCCCAGUCAAUCCAACCUAAAGCUCCAAGGCUAGACAAGACUCUCUCCCUAUCAACUGUUCUUCUCCACUUACGAGACACUGGUUUGCCAGAAACAAGAAAUCCUCCAGUGCUGGUGCAGCAAAAACAAGGAACUACUAACCCUACUUGAAAUGAGCUACCAGAAGGUAAAAAGAAUAGAACAGAAAGAAAGGGGCACCUGGAAGCAGGAAGAGGAAGUGAUGAGCAACUCCUCAGAGUCUUGCUGCUGUAGUUCUGGACUGCAAAUGCCCAAGACCUUGGGGGCAGCAGGAAGAGGAAGUGAACACAAGACAGCCAUGCUUGCCCCACCUAGCUCUAGAGCUAGCAUGCUCUAGCACUCGCCAGCUUCUGGCCUGAGCCACUGCAGGCAUGUGGCUGCAUUUCCUGAAUCAAAGGUUCUGCACCUCCUGUUCUGAAAUAUCUAUGGUGGCUAUAAAGAAACUCAGGUAUGAACUGAGGCUGAGCUAAUAUGAACAUGAUACAACUUCAUGAUGUAUAGCAUAGUUUGUGCAGCUAGUGCAGAGCUAUUACAACUUAAUUAUCAUAUAAGUUAUGAUAAAAUGUGGGAGAAUAAAACAUGGCAGAGUCAGCUGGAGAUAGCAUUAGAACAGGGUGACCAUUUAGGGUCUCUAUGUUCACUGCACAUGUAGGGGCAGAAUGUAAGAGGUCUUAUCUGUGAAGGCCUCCACACACUUCAGGCCCUCCACUGACUCUGACAACCCCUUUCUUUUAGUACAAUAAAUUGUUUCUUGCAAGAGUGCAGCUCAUUUGUGCAGAAGACAAGGGCUUCCUCAUGUACUAAUCCAAGAACAUACAACUUCAUCUAGUAAGAAGUACUUCAAACCUUACCACCUUCUGAUCCAAAUGGAAAACUCGUUUCUUUAAUCCAGUUUUCAAUUUACUUAAAAUAACCCCCCAAACCCACUGUAGGCAAUUUCUCCUUGAAAGUAGGGCAAUGCACAUGACAAAUUCUUGUCAAUAUUUAUUAUUUACUUUCUCUGUUUAUUUAUGGAAGAUGCUCAGAUACCACACUAACGAUAACAGGAAGGAGAAUCUGAACAGAAUAGAAAACAACAACAGCACAGAUGUAAAAUAUAGGUGCAGCUAGAAAAUAAGAACCUAUUUUCAGAAAAUGAAAGAGAGAUUUUGACAUUUGUUUUCAUUCCACAAGGGAAAGAGUCAACUUUUUUAACUUUUCCAGAUACAGAGAGACACUAAAUAGCCUGCAUCCCUGUAGUUGGAGCAUGCACUUGAGAUGUUGUAGAAUUAGGCUCAAAUGUCUGAUUAAAUCUGGGUUUCCCAAAUAGGUGAGUGUUGUAACCACCGAGUUGUAGAGCCAGUGUCUCUGGUCCAAUAAAUAGUUAAUUAUCUACAGAAAGUCACACAAUUCCAGUGAGAAAUUUAAAGAGAGACUGAGGCAGCAGUGCCAAGGCAGCCAUGUUCCCCCUGUGUAGACAAAGAUCUGUGUGCCUGCAGAGAUCUGUUUGGUCUCUGAAGCUACAGAGCACUGAAUGAGAUGCAGUCGAAGAACAAGAUACAUGGCCAUGACAGAUCUUAAACAGGGAGUCACUGGCAUUUUAAUGGAUGAGGAUGUUGGUGAGACAUCUAAUUUCAACCCCUGAUGUUUGAAAAUGCUGGCUCCAACCAGUGGAGGGGGAUGGUUUAUUAUCUAUCUUGAAUCAAAUGAGAGCAUUUCCAAAUUUCAUACUUACUGCUAACUGGUCUCUUUUUUAUAUUCAACUAUAUUAUUAUUAACAAUGUACAAAGGAAAGAAAGAAAAGCUCCAGGUAAAAUUGCACAGUAAAGAAAACUGGAUGGAAUUCAACAUGUGAAGCACAUUUUAAGUGCUAAUUAAUAGAUAAGCUCUACUGAAGAUGCAAUAGCUUAAAAUAGCAAGGCAAGUACUCAAACAUAAGAGGCUGUUUGGAAUUAUCCCUACGGAAGAACUAAGAAGCAACCAAAUGAAUAAAAUAAACAAAUCUUUGAGUUAAAAAGCCUGCAGGGACCAUUUAAAUUCAAGUCAGCACAGAUGCCUAUUCUGGUUUUAAAGACCAGGACAGAUGCGAAGAAACAUAAACCUCUUUUUAAAAAAGUUUAUUUAAAUUAGUUCAUUUUCAGAGUCCUUUUCCCUUGAAGACUCCUGAUUUCCUAGCUCCGGUUCUCAAGUAAGUGAAUCUAUUUAAGAGUAAAAGACAGGGAAGCCCAUAACAAAUUAGUUUCAGUGGAAGUGAUCUUUAGAAAGCAGAAAAAUCCUGCCGAGAAGCAGGACUACUUCCCAUUCUCUUCUUGUAGACCACAACAAAGCAAUGGUCUGAAAUGUGACCGGGACUCAAAUUUUGGCAACUUAUGCCUUUCCAAGCAAAGAAAAUAUAUGCCUGCCUGCCUGCCCCUUUAUGAUUAAGGUGGCCUGGAAAGCUCUUAAUAUAUAUAACUUCCUUUUAUGUUACAGAUUCAGGUGCCUCUCUGAGGACUGGAGAACAAGUGAAAUGUCAAUAUCCUAUUAGGGAAUGAAAGACUUCACAAAAAAAAAUAAGCUGCCAGACACCUAGUAGGGAUUAUCUGGAUAAGGAAAGGGGCAAGCUGAGGGAGGAGAUAACGAAAGAGGUGGUCAGAGAGUAUUUGCCGUGUCUGAAUGAAUUCAAGUCAGCAGGGCUGGAUGAGCUUUAUUCCAGGGUCCUGAAAGAACUGGUAGAGGAGAUCUCAGAGCCCUUGGCAAUAAACUUCGUGAAGUUGUGGGAGAUGGGCCAGGUACUAGAGGACUGGAAAAAGGCCAAUAUUAGUGCCCCUCUCUAAGGAAAAGGGUAAGGAGGAGAAACCAGGGAACCAGUUAGUCUCAUCUUAACACCUGGGAGGUUACUGGAGCAUAUCCGAAGGACGGCCAUUUGCAAGCAUCUGGAGGAAGAAAAGCUGAUAACAAGCAGCCACCACAGACUUAGGAAAAACAAAUUGUGUCAAACCUGAUCUUCUUUGGCAAAGUAAUUACUUGGGUGGAUGAAGGAAAUGCUGUGCAUAUAAUGUAUCUGGGCUUUAGAGCAAGGCUUUUUACAAGGUCCCCUGUGACCUUCUAAUAAAUAAAUUGGAGAAAUGUAGGUUGGAUAAACCUACUACAAGGUGGAUAGAUACCCGGCUCAACAGCCAUAAGCAAAGGGUAAUUAUUAACAGGUCCCAGUCACAAUAAGUGGUUUUGAGUGGAUCUUACAGGGUCUGUCUUGGGCCUGCUGCUGUUCAACAUGUUUAUGAAGGAUUUGGAUGCUGGCAUAGACCUUUUUCAUGAACAAGUUUCCAGACAACAUGAAACUGAGAAGGACUGUCAAUACUUUGGAGGAUGCAAGCUCAAUUCAGAAGAAAAGUUUGGCUAGAGCUAACAGGAUGAAUUUUGUAGAAAACCCCCCAGCUUUUCUUUUUUUUUUAAAUGCAUUCCCUCCCCUUCCCCAACCAUUCUGACUCUUUCUCUACCUCUCUACUCCCUAUAGAUAAGUAUGAGUGAGCUAAGACAUAGGAUAAGCUUCAGCAUUUUAUUUUGGUAGCAAGUUAUAGUUGUUUUGUUUUUCUCUUUCUUUAUAUUGUAUAAUUAUUGUUUAUAUUGAUUUUUACUGUUCUAUAUUACUGUUUUACUGGUACUAUAUGAUUUAGGCCUAGAUAUGUAAGUUAGCAUAAGUCAUGUCAAGUUUCCAUUUUGUUUGUCAAGUCUCCAUCUUUUUCCCAUGCCCUGUUGUGUAACCCAUGACUCAUACGUACCCCUCCUAUGUAACUUGGUUCCUGGAUGAAUGGGAAUGAAUGAGAGUGCUUGAGAGACAAUGGCAGUAGGUCUAAAAAUAGCUCCCUCUGAAUGAAUGAACCAUCAACACCAAAAUCUGGACCAACGACCCAGCCAUUGGUACCACCCUCAGCAUUCAAGAAACAAAAGAUGAGGCAAACCCACCAUUGUGUCAAGGCUGCACAUGCUCAAUAAGAAUACUUGGAGCCCUUUGGAAGAGGACUGACAUUGCCUGGACAGGCCCUUCCCACAGGAAAUCAGAGAUAGUCUGCCCCACAAAAAGGGGUAGUGAAGACUGACUCCUUGGGAUGCCCUCUCCAUCUGGACCAGCACCAUGCCAUACUACCUAUCCAUCCAGAUGUCCUGCCGGCAACCCCCCUCUGGACAACACCUAUUUGACAAGGACCCCUUUCCAGCCUGGAUAGGUAGCUAUCACCCCCACCCCCUAAUCAACCAAGGACUUGGACUCUGCUUCUCUUCCCUACCUGGACUCCAGCCCUUCCACCAAGUCUCUUUCUCCUGCUGCCAUUGUGUGUGUGUGUGUGUGUGUGUGUGUGUGUGUGUGUGUGUGUGUGUGUGUGUGUGUGUGUGUGUGUCCCCAGCCCAGCCCAGCCCAGCCCAGCCCAGCCCAGCCCAGCCCCUGGCUUGUUUACUUUUCAUUCCAUCCAGGAAGAGCACACACCAACUGCUGAAGCUUCCUUAGCCUGA